UGUCCCGGUCGAGUCAAGCCAAGUUGGCGAGUUUUGUUGGGUGUUUCCAGCAGCUGGGAAGAAGGAAGAAAAGAGAAAAGAAAGAAGAAGGAAAAGAGUGGAGAAGAAAAGGGAGGAGAAGGGGGAAUGAGGGAGUUCGGGUCAACUCGGUUUGAAACCGAGUCAACUCACUGAGUCAGGGCUAACCGAAUCCCAUGCCAUUCAGGGACCUUGGUCGGUCAGUGGAUCAACUACAUUGGGGCUCCCAAUCCCGAGCAUAAUGCUAGGCACCGUCAUCAGGACCUGAUCCUAAGGGCGCAAGCACUACUUAGCGAUACUAAGAGGCAAUUCAAAGUAUAAGGUGAUGAUUCUUCCCCUUGAACUUUCCAUCUUCUCAUUAGCUUAAGUUAUAGUUUUUAUUAAAAAUUAUAAUUGAUAUCUCUCUCUUAUAAUCACAUGUGUUAGCUGGUGGAAAUUGAAUUGCUAUAUUGCCUGCUUAAUGUUCAUCCUGUAUAUUUGUUCAUGCUUGUGGAUUAUUUGUGUAUUGCUUAUGGACUUUAAACUGGUACAUUAGUGGGAAACCCCCACCUAUAAAUGUACACCCAUACUUGGGAUGUAACCCGACUGGUUGUGAUUAAAAUGGACCUUCAACUUAGUGGUUAUUGA